rnacentral:pre_miRNA from 1 species
UUCAAGUAAUCCAGGAUAGGCUGGGCCCAUUCUCAUUGGCCUAUUCUUGGUUACUUGCACU